AGUGUGAAGCCUGAAAUAUAAGGGAUAUCUUGAUGUGAUACAAUUUGUAAUAUUUACUCACACUA
rnacentral:tRNA from 1 species